UAAUAAAUUGGUGUGGUGACUCAGUUACCCUUGCAUUUAUUUAAAAACGACUAAAUGGAAAUAAAAAUGGUUAUUGUGUUAAAUGUAUUAGGCUAAUUAUUUACGUGAUAACGUUCCAAAGAAAUUCAAAAUCUCAGUCAGCUUUCCGUAUGAAAACCAACCAUUUAAACCAUUCAAACACAGGAUACUAAAGAAAAGAAGGGAAAAGGUCAGUUAUUAAAUAUCAUAUACCACACAUUGCGGGAACAAAAGGUUAGGUUCUGUAGUUCGACAUUAAAGCUACGGAUUAUAGUUACAGGCAUGAGCAUGCUUUGCCAUUUCCUUCAUCAGAUAGGCAACUCAUCCAAAACCUAUACACACAUCAAUCCUCACAAGCAAUCGUCCAUUACAUCUAGUUGCUCCAGACAAUGGAACAGCAAUGUGCCCAGGGCGGUUUGUAUGCACGAUAGCAAAGGGGCUGAGUUAAACUCUACCAGACUACCACAGGACACACCUACCGACAACAUAAUUUACAGCCCUGGCACACGGUUAAAUCCUAUAUUUACAACGAAAACAUCCAUCAAAUCGACGAAACUAUGCUGAGUGUUUGGACCCUCCUUGCAGCUGCUAUUUUUGCAGGGCCAGUCUCUGCAAUAUCUCGGAGGCGUAUAAUCCAUGGCAGUCAGUUGACUCUGGAUCUUCCCGAAAGGACAAAGAGGUUGCAUUUUGCUACUGCUGAUGAGACUGAUCAAUUUACUAUCUGGGAACAUAAAGGAAUCUCUCACUGGCCCAGUAAACCCAGUAAAGGUCAAGUGACUAGCGCUAGUAAUGGCUGGACUUUCAGAAUCCCACAUGUUACAUUUGACGAUGAGGGAACCUACACCUUACUCAAUGACUUUGGGGCAACCAUCUCCAGUUAUACAGUGAAGGUCGACAUCAACAGAGAUAUCAUUGAGCGUAUCGCAGGUGAAAAACUGACCAUACCACUACUAGGACUCAAGCAAAGUGAUGCCACGCUUCACUUUUUUGGCAAUUAUUCAUCUGUCACCCUGGUGGAUAAUGGAUCUCCUGUGGGCAAGAAUCAUCCAGACUACGUUAACCGGCUUAAAGUGACCAGCGAAUCGAUCCAGGUUCUCAAUGUCAGUGUGUCAGAUUUGGGCAGAUACGAGCUCACCAAUUAUAAAGGCAGACUUGUCGCAAACAAUACAAUGAUACUAGUGGGUAAGAAAAGACUUUCUUCAAUAUGUUUCAAAAUUUUACACACACACACAUUUACUUUUUUUAGCUAAAUAGGGACACUGCAUAGACUUCCAUAGUUUAUAUAUGCAGCUAUUUAUAAAUACUAUAACCUAACCCUAACCUUACCAGAAAACUUUCUGCAUUUUUACAAUUAAAAAAAAUAAAAACUGCAUUUACUUUUAUUUUUAUGCCAUUUUUACAAAUGAGGGCGCCCCCAAAAGAAGCUUUUGGGGAUUUUUGUCAGGUUUAGCUAACUUCUGGGUACAAAUUUGUGUUAAAGGGUUAGUUCACCCAAAAAUUAAUAUUCUAUCAUUAAUUAGUCACCCUCAUUGUCACGAUCACCGUCUGUUCCUGUCAGUUCCUGGACUCCAUUUCCCAUAAUCCUCCCUGCCAAUCACAUGCACACUCCACACCAAUCACCAAUUGCCACACACACCUGUAGAUCAUUCUCUGGACUAUUUAAGACUCACUCACACACUACCUCAGGGCGAAGUCUUGUUAACUGUUGUUGCAUUUCUGAGCGUUUAUUAUCCUGUCUGCCUGCCUGCUCGUUCCUGUUCCUGCCUGUUACCCGUUAUCGACCAGUUGCUGCCUGCCUUUGAUCCUUGCCUGGUAUUCUGUUCUAUCAACAUUCAUAUACCCCUAGUACGGGUCUUAUAGCUCUGCUGCUGCUUGGAAUUCCUGGUGGAAUCUGCUUCUGCUGCAGAAAGAGAAUCUGCAAAAGUUGCCGGACCAACAAAUCAUACACGCACACAGUGGAGUCCAACACCCUUAAUACUGUACCAGUGUCUAUACCUUGCAGCAACACAGUGAUUGGUCCUGGAGGUCCUAUAGGUCCUGGAGGCCCUGACCAGGGCUACAUCGCUGGUUAUCCGCCUCAUCCAGAUCAAGGUCAGAUUCAUUAUCCUCCACCACCAGAGUGGAACGGACAACCUGCUGUUUCUCCCAGCCCUGGCUUUCAACCUGCAUAUGUGCCACAAAACCCUGUCUAUCCUCCUGACUUUGGAUCUGGAGUUCCCCCCGCUCAGCCUCCACAGUGGAAUGCCCCUCCCACCCAGUACAACCCAUCUGCAGCUGUGAGCUAUAUGCCAGUGAUGAACAGCACUCCUCCUGGACCUGAAGUCACAGGGAUGAAGAUGAAUGAACCAUCUCCAAACGCACCACUGCUCACACCUCAGCCGGAGUCUCAACAGUCUGCUAUGGGCAGCCUUUCCAUGGAUAUCCUUAACUCCGGUGACUCUAGUGUCCAGUUUGACAUUAACAAAGGAAAGUCUUCUGGCAACAACUUCCUGUAGUUCCUCUAAAAUACUGAAUUAUCCCUGUAAGGGAAAUAGAAACAAACACUUAAAUGUUGAUUAGAUUCAUACAAAACUUAAGCCUUUAAAAUUAAUGGUUCCAUAUUUUGAAAGGACAGGACAUCAUUCACUCUGGUGGAUUAUAAUAUUCAAAUGUUUAUUUUAAACUUUAUAUUGAUGAUUACCUUAAACAGAUAAGUCAGUGUUGGUCAUUAUCACUGUAAAUAAUAAUAAAAAUAAUAAUUUCCAUCUAGAGAAUUAAUAGGACUUAAACACAGCUACUUCAAUAUUUGUAUCAUUACACAUUCUUUCAAGACUCAACCUAGCAUAAGAGGAAUAGAAGGAUAUUAUAAUUUAAAUACCUGUAAAAUCACUGUUAACACUCUUCUCCUUUGAAAAAGAAUGUGUAAAGAAGAGUAUUUUUUCUUACUGCUUAAUGUCACUCUCUUGGUAAGAAAGAAGCUGUUCAAUGAUACCAAAGAUAUUUCACAGUUACAAAGCUACUACCAUAUUGUCAGCAAGAUGCAGCAAAAUGUUUUCAUAUUAUACUCGCUGCGCAUGCUACAUGGACAAAAGCAUGAGGAUUUACCUUCUGAAUGGGCUUCCAAUGACAACCAUUGCUGACAGAUGUGUAUAUUGAUGCAGCAAAGCAAUAUCCAUAGACAAACACUGGCAGGCAUGUUAUGGCCUGUUCUGAAGCUUACUUUCAAAAGGUUAGUUUACCCAAAAAAAAAAAACGGGUAAAAAUGCUGUCAUCUACUCCUCCCUCAUUUCAUUCCAAAUCUGUAUGGCUGAAAUAUAAAGAAGAUAUUUUGGGGGGGGGGGGUUUGGGGAGAGGAGUGUUUUUUGUCCAUACAAUGGAAGUCAGUGGGCAGUUAGGCACAAGUACUGUUUGGUUACCAACAUUCUUUAAACUAUCUUAGGGUUCCACAGAAGAAAGAAAUGCAUACAGGUUUGAAAUGACAUGAGCGAGAGCAAAUGAUGACAGAAUUUUCAUUUUCUGGGUAAACUAUUUCUUGAAGGUGACACUGAGCUACUAUUUUCACUUUAUCCAAAUUCUCCAACAGUCAGCCUUAAAAAGCCAUAUUCUACACUUUUGUGUAGAACUACAUGGAAUGGAACACAUGUACACAUUACUAUUUAUGCAUGUAAGUGAAUUCAAAUGUUUUAAUGUAGUUUUAGGGAUUUUUCUCAACUACCAUGAAUAGCCUGGCAGGAGCUACAUUUACUUAAGCCAUUUACAUAGUGCUGUUAGCUGGAAUUAAACAACAAAUGCCUCAAACAACUAAACAUUUAUACUUGAAUCUUAUAUAUGUGUAAAAUCUUAGUGACGUUUUAUAGUAGGUUUCACGUUGUACCUUAAAAGGACAUAUCACAAUGGAUAUGGAAAUAUAAAAAGACCUACCAUUGUUCUGAAUUAAAAUACUGCUAUCAAUUUCUGCAUACAGGACUGUAUUUCUUACUGUUUAUAUUGUAUAUUCUUAUUACAUGUUCUCUGUAUUUUUUAUUUUGUCAGACAUCUAGAGCCAACUGGCAAAACCAUUUCCCUUGUUAUACCUGUAUGUUGCAUUAUCGGCAAACAAAAUGUUAUUUUAUUGUUAUAUGCUUUAAACUAUAAGAAGAAUGACAAUAAACAUGACUAUCGUAAUAAA